rnacentral:rRNA from 1 species
UACGUAGGGGGCUAGCGUUGUCCGGAAUCAUUGGGCGUAAAGCGCGCGCAGGCGGCCUCUUAAGUCUGAUGUGAAAGCCCCCGGCUCAACCGGGGAGGGCCAUUGGAAACUGGGAGGCUUGAGUAUAGGAGAGAAGAGUGGAAUUCCACGUGUAGCGGUGAAAUGCGUAGAGAUGUGGAGGAACACCAGUGGCGAAGGCGGCGAUCUGGACGGAUAUUGACGCUGAUGUACGAAAGCGUGGGGAGCAAACAGG